GCCCCGAUAGUAUAGUGGCCAAGUACGCUGCCCUCUCACGGCAGUAACCCGAGUUCGAAUCUCGGUCGGGGCG
rnacentral:tRNA from 1 species